GGCAACUUGGCCGAGUGGUCUAAGGCGGUGCACUCAAGAUGCACUCUCGUUCAGAGGCGUGAGUUCGAAUCUCACAGUUGUCA